rnacentral:rRNA from 1 species
AUGUAAGGCCUACAGCGUUAAUGCACUGGAUCCCAUGAGAACUCAGCAAUUAAGUGCGCUUGGGCUAGAGUAGUACAAGAUGGGUGACCUCCCAGGAAGUCCUAGUGUUUUAUAUG